CCCAUGCACGUGUCCGUCAAAUGUUAAAUGUGGGCUAUUAUAUUGUACUCAAAUUACUAUAAAUUUGAUAUAUUUUAUACACCCUACAGUUUAUAAAGCCGAAUUGAAACUUUUUUUACGCAGAGUUGGAAGAUUCCUGGAGUCCUGGAUUAGCUGAAAAAAAAUGGCGGACUAUAGAAAAAUGUUUCUGAUUGUCACGUUAUUGGGAAUAGUACUGCAACUCUCGCACGUGCAUGCGUCGGUCAUCGAAGACAAGGCUCUUUUGGAAUGCGAGAGCGAGUGUUCUAGUAAAUUCCUGCCAUGCAUGCAGGGGUACCAUUGCACCGAGCGACUCGAGAAGGAUAUGGACAAAUGCGGAUUGUACUGUUCUGCCUGGGUGGAAGCGUGCAUGGAAACCUGCGGCUCCAGGAAAGCCGCAUCGUAAACAAGCUACAAUGUGAAAGAAUUUCUGCCGAAUCCGUCAUGUGGAAAUGCCAAAAAAAAUGUAUUGGAAUUCUGUUUGAAACAUGAUUUUGGAAAAUUCUGUAAUAAUUGAUUAAAGUCUGUACAACUACGAA